rnacentral:rRNA from 1 species
AUUGAACGCUGGCGGAAUGCUUUACACAUGCAAGUCGAGCGGCAGCACGGGGGCAACCCUGGUGGCGAGCGGCGAACGGGUGAGUAAUACAUCGGAACAUGCCCAGUCGUGGGGGAUAACACCUCGAAAGAAGUGCUAAUACCGCAUACGUCCUGAGGGGGAAAGCGGGGGAUCGCAAGACCUCGCGCGAUUGGAGUGGCCGAUGUCAGAUUAGCUAGUUGGUGGGGUAAAGGCCUACCAAGGCAACGAUCUGUAGCUGGUCUGAGAGGAUGAUCAGCCACACUGGGACUGAGACACGGCCCAGACUCCUACGGGAGGCAGCAGUAGGGAAUUUUGGACAAUGGGGGCAACCCUGAUCCAGCCAUUCCGCGUGAGUGAAGAAGGCCUUCGGGUUGUAAAGCUCUUUCGGCAGGAACGAAACGGUGAGCUCUAACAUAGCUUGCUAAUGACGGUACCUGAAGAAGAAGCACCGGCUAACUACGUG